CCUGAUAAUCCAUUAUCUGAGCUCAAGUGGCAUGCUAGAGUAGUAAUACUUUAGUGUGAAGCCCACCUAAAUCCAUCUAUCAAUCAUAUUUGAAUAGAUGGUGAGCUAGUUAUCUAUGAACAACAUAAGUGA
rnacentral:ncRNA from 1 species